AGACUAAACAGUGUGAGACAACAGCUGACAGGAUCACACCACAAAGUGCAGCGACGCUCCCACCUGCAGACGCCGCCAGCUUCUGUCCGACACAACGUGGAUCUCAUCAUCAUGAAACAAGGCCUCCUCGGACUGUCGGUCUUUGUGCUGUGGACUGCAGGACUGACUGAUGGAAGUGAUGUGACCCAGACUGACAUACUGUGGAAAAGAGAAGGCGAAGACGCAACAAUGAGCUGCAGCCACAGAAAGGGUGCUACCUACUACGAGAUGUACUGGUACAGACAGCUGCCAGGAGAAACGAUGAAGCAGAUCGUCUACACUAGAGCUAACUUAGAAAAUCAGUACUUUGGAAGUUUCAGCAAAGAGAAAUUCUCAGCCACCAAACCUGAUGCUGAGAGUGGGACAUUCACAGUGAAGAAUCUGGUGCCAGGAGACAAAGGCUUGUAUUUCUGUGCUGUUAGUCAACACAGUGAUACAGACACAUGUGAAAGCUGAACAAAAACCCCAGUGUGCCGUUAGCAGAGCUGAUACGAUUAUCUCAUGUACUGCAGGGGGACCUCGAGGACCACAAACACUCCACGUUCCACUUUGACUCGUCUCGUUGGUUUUAAUACAACAGCAAACAGGAUCAGAGGUCGUCACGCGCUGCAGAGACACGCCCA